GACGAACGCUGGCGGCGUGCUUAACACAUGCAAGUCGAACGGAAAGGCCCUGCUUUUGUGGGGUGCUCGAGUGGCGAACGGGUGAGUAACACGUGAGUAACCUGCCCUUGACUUUGGGAUAACUUCAGGAAACUGGGGCUAAUACCGGAUAGGAGCUCCUGCUGCAUGGUGGGGGUUGGAAAGUUUCGGCGGUUGGGGAUGGACUCGCGGCUUAUCAGCUUGUUGGUGGGGUAGUGGCUUACCAAGGCUUUGACGGGUAGCCGGCCUGAGAGGGUGACUGGCCACAUUGGGACUGAGAUACGGCCCAGACUGCUACGGGAGGCAGAAGAAGCGAAUAGUGCACAAUGGGCGGAAGCCUGAUGCAGCAACGCCGCGUUCGGGAUGACGGCCUUCGGGUUGUAAACCGCUUUCGCCUGUGACGAAGCGUGAGUGACGGUAAUGGGUAAAGAAGCACCGGCUAACUACGUG
rnacentral:rRNA from 1 species